GACGAACGCUGGCGGCGUGCUUAACACAUGCAAGUCGAACGGUAAGGCCCUUCGGGGUACACGAGUGGCGAACGGGUGAGUAACACGUGGGUGAUCUGCCCUGCACUUUGGGAUAAGCCUGGGAAACUGGGUCUAAUACCGGAUAGGACCAUGGACUUCACGGUUUGUGGUGGAAAGCUUUUGCGGUGUGGGAUGGGCCCGCGGCCUAUCAGCUUGUUGGUGGGGUAAUGGCCUACCAAGGCGACGACGGGUAGCCGGCCUGAGAGGGUGUCCGGCCACACUGGGACUGAGAUACGGCCCAGACUCCUACGGGAGGCAGCAGUGGGGAAUAUUGCACAAUGGGCGCAAGCCUGAUGCAGCGACGCCGCGUGGGGGAUGACGGCCUUCGGGUUGUAAACCUCUUUCAGUAGGGACGAAGCGCAAGUGACGGUACCUACAGAAGAAGCACCGGCCAACUACGUGCCAGCAGCCGCCGUAAUAC
rnacentral:rRNA from 1 species